rnacentral:rRNA from 1 species
CCUACGGGUGGCUGCAGUGGGGAAUAUUGGACAAUGGGGGCAACCCCGAUCCAGCCAUGCCGCGUGUGUGAAGAAGGCCCUCGGGUUGUAAAGCACUUUCAGUGAGGAAGAACGCCUGGUGGUUAAUACCCAUCAGGAAAGACAUCACUCACAGAAGAAGCACCGGCUAACUCCGUGCCAGCAGCCGCGGUAAUACGGAGGGUGCGAGCGUUAAUCGGAAUUACUGGGCGUAAAGCGCGCGUAGGUGGCUUGAUAAGCCGGUUGUGAAAGCCCCGGGCUCAACCUGGGAACGGCAUCCGGAACUGUCAAGCUAGAGUGCAGGAGAGGAAGGUAGAAUUCCCGGUGUAGCGGUGAAAUGCGUAGAGAUCGGGAGGAAUACCAGUGGCGAAGGCGGCCUUCUGGACUGACACUGACACUGAGGUGCGAAAGCGUGGGUAGCAAACAGGAUUAGAUACCCCGGUAGUC